GUUGUUCCCUCUGUCAGUGAAUAGAGCUGACCUGUGUAACCAGUGUGGUAUUGCAGAAGGGACAAAGUGUGACUUCUGGGACUAGGUCAUAAAAGACAGUGGUGUUUUCAUGUGUCAGUGCUCUCUGUUGGAUCACUUGCUCUGGGGAAAGCCAGCUGCCAUCAGGUGGGGACACUAGAGGAGCCCCAGGGAGCUCCCAUAUGGCAAGGAACUGAGACCUGCUGCCAACACCCAGGACCAAUUUGCCAUCCAUGAGAGUGGGCCGUCUCGAAAGUGGGAGAAUGUGGUCAGUGUUUCAGCCAGUGCUUGCUGCUGAGGCAGGAGAGAAUAAUUGUGUAAAGAGGGGGCUCCCGCAGUGCAGGACAGGAAGCCACCAUGUGAGCACCACAUCCACGUGCAGGUCGCAGGCUUCAUCAUGUCCUGAAUACCAUGCCUUAGCAUUUUAUAUUUCAGGUUUCUACUUCUACAUCUCCAGCCCUGAAUACUCAUGGAAUAUCGCUGUACCUAUGACAGGGCUCACAAGAGACCACACUCAAGGAGUGAUGAACAAAUUUUAAUUGGUAACAUAAUUCUAGUAAUACUAAGUGUUGAGGAGUUUCUGACUGAAUCCCUACUUCUCUGAUGUUGAAGGUGUUGUAAGGCAAAG
rnacentral:lncRNA from 1 species